CCUACGGGUGGCUGCAGUAGGGAAUAUUGCUCAAUGGGGGAAACCCUGAAGCAGCAAAGCCGCGUGGAGGAUGAAGGUUUUCGGAUUGUAAACUCCUUUUGUUAGGGAAGAUAAUGACUGUAUCUAACGAAUAAGCACCGUCUAACUCCGGGCCAGCAGCCGCGGUAAUACGGAGGCUUCAAGCGUUAUCCGGAUUUAUUGGGUUUAAAGGGGGCGUAGGCGGGAUAGCAAGUCAGAUGUGAAAUCCUAGGGCUUAACCAGAGAACUGCAUUUGAAACUGUUAUUCUAGAGUAUGGGAGAGGUAGGUGGAAUUCGUGGUGUAGGGGUAAAAUCCGUAGAGAUCAAGAGGAAUACUGAUUGCGAAGGCGACCUGCUAGAACAUAACUGACGCUGAUGCUCGAAAGCGUGGGGAGCAAACAGGAUUAGAUACCCUGGUAGUC
rnacentral:rRNA from 1 species